UGCAGCCAAGGAGAACGUUUUCUUCGGAAAGCUAUUAAACUGGCGGACGGGUGACUAUUGCGUAGGCAACCUGCCCCCAUGACAGGGAUAACAUCGGGAAACUGGUGCUAAUACCGGAUGUGGUCUUUGUAUCACCUGAUACGGAGAUUAAAGAUGGGUUUCUAUCACAUGGGGAUGGGCCUGCGUCCCAUUAGCUUGUUGGUAGGGUAACGGCCUACCAAGGCAACGAUGGGUAGCUGGUCUGAGAGGAUGAUCAGCCACACUGGGACUGAGAUACGGCCCAGACUCCUACGGGAGGCAGCAGUGGGGAAUAUUGCGCAAUGCCUGAAAGGGUGACGCAGCGACGCCGCGUGGGUGAUGAAGCUCUAUGGAGUGUAAAGCCCUGUCAGAAGGGAAGAAUAGCCAUGUUUCGAAAGGGAUGUGGUCUGACGGUACCUUCAGAGGAAGCUCCGGCUAACUCCGUGCCAGCAGCCGCGGUAAUACGGGGGGAGCAAGCGUUGUCCGGAAUCACUGGGCGUAAAGGGCGUGUAGGCGGGCUGGCAAGUCAGAUGUGAAAGCCCACGGCUCAACCGUGGAGGGUCAUCUGAUACUGCUGGUCUUGAGUUCGAGAGAGGGUGAUGGAAUUCCCGGUGUAGCGGUGAAAUGCGUAGAUAUCGGGAGGGACACCAGAAGCGAAGGCGGUCACCUGGCUCGUAACUGACGCUGAGGCGCGAAAGCGUGGGCAGCAAACAGGAUUAGAUACCCUGGUAGGCCACGCCGUANACGAUGGGCACUAGGUGUAGGGUUGGCCUCACGGUCGAUUCGGUGCCGCAGCUAACGCAUUAAGUGCCCCGCCUGGGGAGUACGCUCGCAAGGGUGAAACUCAAAGGAAUUGACGGGGGCCCGCACAAGCGGUGGAGCAUGUGGUUUUAUUCGAUGCAACGCGA
rnacentral:rRNA from 1 species